rnacentral:rRNA from 1 species
AUACGUAGGGGGCGAGCGUUGUCCGGAAUGAUUGGGCGUAAAGGGCGCGUAGGCGGCUUGUUAAGUCUGGAGUGGAAGUCCUCUUUUCAAGGGAGGAAUUGCUUUGGAAACUGGCGGGCUUGAGUGCAGGAGAGGUUAUCGGAAUUCCCGGUGUAGCGGUGAAAUGCGUAGAGAUCGGGAGGAACACCAGUGGCGAAGGCGGGUAACUGGACUGCAACUGACGCUGAGGCGCGAAAGUGUGGGGAGCAAACAGGAUUAGAUACCCUGGUAGUCCACACUGUAAACGAUGAAUGCUAGGUGUAGGGGGUAUCGACCCCUUCUGUGCCGCAGUCAACACAAUAAGCAUUCCGCCUGGGGAGUACGGCCGCAAGGUUGAAACUCAAAUGAAUUGACGGGG